rnacentral:tRNA from 2 species
GCGGGGGUUGCCGAGCUUGGUCAAAGGCGCUGGACUUAAGAUCCAGUUUCGCAGGAAUCCGCGGGUUCAAAUCCCGCCCCCCGCA